CCCUUAGAUGUUCUGGGCCGUACACGCGCUACACUGAAGGAGGCAGCGUGUACUCCUGGAUCGAAAGAUUUGGGUAACCCGCGAAUCUCCUUCGUGCUAGGGAUUGAGGUUUGCAAUUAUCCUUCAUGAACGAGGAAUUCCCAGUAAGUGCAAGUCAUAAGCUUGCGCUGACUACGUCCCUGCCCUUUGUACACACCGCCCGUCGCUACUACCGAUUGAAUGAUUUAGUGAGGACUUCGGACUGGGACCGAUGCGGCUUUCGGGCUGCGUCGGUAUUCUGGAAAGAUGUCCAAACUGUAUCAUUUAGAGGAAGUAAAAGUCGUAACA
rnacentral:rRNA from 1 species